GCGCGUAAAUUGCCCGAAUCCUGACACAGGGAGGUAGUGACAAGAAAUAACAAUACAGGGCUAUCUUAGUCUUGUAAUUGGAAUGAGUACAAUUUACAUCUCUUCACGAGGAUCAAUUGGAGGGCAAGUCUGGUGCCAGCAGCCGCGGUAAUUCCAGCUCCAAUAGCGUAUAUUAAAGUUGUUGCAGUUAAAACGCUCGUAGUCGGAUUUCGGGGCGGGGCCGCCGGUCUGCCGAUGGGUAUGCACUGGCGGUCGCGUCCUUCCUUCCGGAGACUGGCCCUACUCUUAACUGAGCGGGGUCGGGAGACGGAUCGUUUACUCUGAAAAAAUCAGAGUGUUUCAAGCAGGCAGCUCGCUCUUGCAUGGAUUAGCAUGGGAUAAUGAAAUAGGACUUUGGUGCUAUUUUGUUGGUUUCGAACACCGAAGUAAUGAUUAACAGGGACAGUCAGGGGCACUCGUAUUCC
rnacentral:rRNA from 1 species